AACUUGUUGCAAACCACAAGUCUGCACGAAACAUUUACUCAAGCAUUGCAAGAGAAGUAUUAGUUGUCCUCCAUUAAGAGGCACGCACUCCCACACACACUGAAAGAUGUCUUAAUGCCUUUUCUUCAUUUCUACUACUCAUUUAAUCACAAGCAGAAAAGGCAGUGACAUUAAUAUUACUGUUACGCUUGGGAUGCCAGUUGUACAACUGAUAGUUCAACAGCAAAGUUUAGUGCCCUUCUAAGUACUUCAGAAGAAAAAAAAGAGCCCUUCUUGCUUUCUGAAACCUAAUGGAUUGAAGAGCUACAAGAAGGAAUUCCCAUCUAAAUGCAAAUCAAGGCAACCCCAUCUUGAAUGCACCAGUAGUUACAAAAGGUCUGCUUCCGUGAAUGUGGGUCUUCUCCCUCUGCUUUGCCACAUCACUACAUCUGUGUGUGCCCGGCGUUCUUAACAGGAUUGGCGGGGCAUGGAAUAAAUAUGGAUUUACAGUGCUUUAUUUUGGCUACUAAAUAUCCUCCUGUUGCAGCUGCUCUGUUAUCCUCAUCCUUGAUAAUAACUACAAUAUUAAUGUAACCUGCUAACUGAUCAGAAAGUUGAGUCAAAUCGCACCUGUAAUUACACCUAUGAGUUUCUUUUUAGCUUUACUGGGGUUGCUUGGUAUACUAACAAGCACCACGGCCUGGUAUGGAUAACAGAAGCAGCCACCAUCAUCACUAUGUGGCAGCAGGUUCAGCGCCAGGAAGGAGGAAUCUCGAGAUGAAACAAAAGGCAUACUACUACUCAGUUUUUAUUUGAGUUCCAUUAAUGACAGAAUUAGGGUUGGUCUACAUGCAGACACUCAAGAAAGACAAAUCAACUAUACAUAUGGAUAAUGCACCAGGUUCACACUUUUAGUUGAUUUGCUUUCUCUCUCCUGAGUAUUAUACACAAUGAUUGAUCUUACUCCUAAAGUCAAAAGGAAUUUUGCUACUGACUUUUAUGGGGGAAAAGGACCUAUUCUCAUUACAGUCUCCUCUGAUCUAACUCCAGUAAUACCAAGCACUUAAAAUUCCAUCAUGGGUGAAAUGUCUUUACAGCAUUGUGCCACUGAACUAACCACAACACUUCCAUUCUGGAUAAGAAAAUGUUGACAAGAGAAAUCUACCUUUGAUUUCAGUGACAGAAGACGAAACACUUGAAAAUGUCAUUCCAAAGGAAGUAAAAGUCUGUGGCAUAGAAAAGCACUCCCUAUGCCACCAAUGCACCCUGUUAGAAAAGGAAGCUGGACUGGGUUUCCGUAACCUUUAUUCACUCACUACAUAUUCAAUCCAGCUACCCUUGUGCAGCUCAGAUAAGAAAAAGCAGAAAUUAGAAUCAAGAAUUUCCUAGUUUUUCAAAUAGGAAUGUUCUGAAUAAGCCUAUUGAGUUAGACCGCUUUGUGGACGGCAUUCAUUCAAACCCCUGAUUACACACAUAAAAUAACAGGUAGGAUUCUGAAUCAAUAUUAUCAGCAUGAAAGAAACGAUUACCUAGACACCUUAACAACUUCUAGUUUUGCUGUCCUGCUCUUUUGAACCAGGCUGACCUGCAAUGAUUAUAUAUUUGGGAGGAAAGAGUUGGAAUUUAGCUUGUUAAGAAUAUUGACGUUACAAUAAAGCGCACAAUUCUGCAGAUG